UGCUUGUGUAUUUAUUUUGCUGUGGUAGUGUCCGGGUUCGCCUCGCACUAACGAGGUUCGUCAAAACCCCGCCAUAUUCCGGCGGGGUUUUGCUUUUU
rnacentral:sRNA from 1 species